GCCUGGGUGGCUCAGUCGAUCAAGUGUCUGACUUCGGCUCAGGUCAUGAUCUCAUGGUCUGUGGGUUCAAGCCCCUCAUCAGGCU
rnacentral:tRNA from 1 species